CGUUUCCAUGGCAGCGGGAGCCAACAGGGAGGCGCCGCCAUGAGCCCGCCCGAGGUGGAGCCGCUCGUGUGCCAGAAGUACGAGAUCAAGAGGCGCCUGGGCAAGGGGGCCUACGGCAUCGUCUGGAAAGCAAUCGACCGCAGGACAGGAGAAAUAGUUGCUGUUAAAAAGAUUUUUGAUGCUUUCAGGAACAGGACGGAUGCUCAGAGAACAUUUCGAGAGAUUAUGUUCCUGCAGGAAUUUGGAGAACAUCCAAAUAUCAUCAAGCUGCUCGAUGUUAUCCAAGCUGAGAAUGACAAGGAUAUCUACCUCAUCUUCGAGUCCAUGGAGACAGAUUUACAUGCUGUUAUUAAGAAGGGGAAUUUGCUGAAAGACAUCCACAAGUGUUACAUUCUCUACCAGCUCCUGAAGGCAACUAAAUUCAUCCACUCGGGGAAUGUCAUUCACAGGGAUCAGAAGCCUUCCAAUAUCCUGCUGGAUGCAGAGUGCUGUGUGAAGCUGUGUGACUUCGGGCUGGCCCGUUCCCUGUGCCAGCAGGGCGAGGACCAGCCCAGCCCCGCGCUGACCGAGUACGUGGCCACGCGCUGGUACCGCGCCCCCGAGAUCUUACUGGCCUCUCGCAGUUACACUAAAGGUGUAGACAUGUGGAGCAUUGGCUGCAUUCUGGGAGAGAUGCUGCUUGGGAAGCCUCUUUUCCCUGGAACAUCAACAAUGAAUCAAAUAGAGCAGAUCCUAAGGGUCAUCCCUGCUCCGUCCCCAGAAGAUAUUUUGGCUCUGCAAUCAGAGUACAAGGCCUCAGUUAUUAACCACAUGAGUUCCCGGCAGCGAGUAACAUUUGAGGAGAUUUUCCCAUCCUCUACUCCACUACCUGCCUUGGAUCUGCUGAAGAAACUUCUGGUAUUUAACCCUGACAAACGGCUCACAGCAGAGGAGGCUCUGCAGCAUCCUUAUGUGAACAGAUUCCACUGUCCUUCCAGGGAGCCCUCUUUGGAUUAUAAUGUGGUCCUUCCUUUGGGUGAUGAUGUCCAGCUGUCUGUGGCAGAAUAUCGAAAUAAAUUGUAUGAGUUGAUCCUUGAAAAAAAAUCAAGGAGCCUUCUAAAGGAGAGAGGGCGGAGAGAAAACAUUCAGCUGAGCCAGUCUGAAUCCAGCCCACUUCUCCCAAAUUGCAGCUCAGUGACUGUACCCACCAGAAAAGUCCAGCAAGAACCAGCACCUCCUCUCCUAAACCCUUCACAUGUGCAUGCAGGAGCCACAGCUGGAGUCCAGCCAACAGGAUCCAGCCAGAGCAAGGAUUUGGCCAGAACUGUGUGUCAGAGAUCACAGAUCAGUGUGAUGAUGUACAACCCCAUCACACACACCACUGUGCAGAGAAAUGCAAAUCUUGGUGCUGGGAUCAGGAACUUUUCUGCACCACGUCAACAGCCCAGAAUCUCCAACAAUGGGAAACUAGGGAGACAAAUCUCAUGGACAAACACUGGGCUCCCUCCUACAAGGGUGCAGAACCUUUACAAUAAUCCCAGAAACUCUCAGUGUCACAGCAAAGAUGUUCGUCCCCUUCUGAAGCCCAGUAAAAAGAUGUUCCAGAUCACUGCAAAUGUGGGAGCUGCGGGUGAUCCAAGAGCAUCGAUGGGCAGCUACUCCCAGGCCUAUGGAACCAUCAGUAAAUCUGCGCUGCAGAGUCUUCCGAUAACAAAGGCCUCCCAAAACCUCGAGCAGUAAAUGUGGAGAUGUUCCAGCCAGAAAGCAGAGUUCCAUGAGAUACUAUUGCUGAAACAUCGUGAAGGUGUUACCAGGCUACAGUGGGACUACAGGAAACAUUAUAUUCCUGUUUUAAUGCGGAUUUUGGAUACAUUCUCCUCAUUAACUUGAAGUUCUUGUCUGUGUCCCUGAAGUUUUACUCCACCUGUGAUAAAUGAUUGUUAUUCCAGAACAUUGGAACUACAGUUACCAAGGGGAUUCAGGUGCUGAAUUCCAGCAUGUGUGGUCACUGGAGUCUGGUAACAGGAGGGAGCCAGGAGUGCAGCUCACAGGGAAGUCCAGGCUUAUUGUGGUAUAUUCAUAGUACAGGUGUUUCCUGCCUGUCUGAGGUACAGGGAGAUGUAGGAGUGGCAGUGCCAGGAACAGGCGCUGCUCCAGGCUCUGCUUCUGCGUGGGAGAAGUCUGGCAAAUGAAUUUCUGUCCUAUAUUCUGCCUCCGUAACAUCAUUCCCAUCGGGCCAUUGCCUGCAGGGUUCAGCUGGUCGGAGCCGUGUCUCACCUCCCUGGAAGAAUUUGAGGGCAUCCAGCUCUAGCUGCUUGGAACGGAGGAAGCCCCUGACCGGAUCCAUCUGGGAAUUCUCCAUUUCCACCUUUUUAUACAUCCGCAUGGCUGACCCCUCCACGGUGUGCCGCAGCAUGUCAUCCCGCCGAAAAUUGGAGAGGAAGUACCUGUCCGGAUCCACUCUGUCCAUGAAGGAGGGGAAGAGACUGUCAUCCCUCUGGAACAUCAGGGGGCCUUUUUUGGGAAAGAAAGGCAUGUUAUUGCCAAAGGGAGCCAUGGCGAAGGCAUUCUCUGCCUUUGCCAGGACAUUGGCUGGAGGAACGAGAGGUUCCGACUGUGCAAACAAAAUGCGGAAUUCCUCAUCAAAGCUGGCCACCAGCUCGCCCUGGAAGAUGUGCGCGAUGCUCCUGUGGAUCUUCUCAAAGGACCACAUGAAACUAUGGAGAGAACAGAAGUGAUGGAGGGUAUUAGCAUUGAGUAACUCAGCUGUACCCCUUUUCAUUAAAGCGUUUGCUUGCCUGAAGGAAAUUCUGAAUUUUCUGCUCCGGUAGAAAUACGGCAAAAUAAUGACAGAAAAUUCCCCUGCAGCCACUUGUUAGACAUGAUCGUUCCCUAACCUCACAGUUAGGUAUUGAUUUGGAAUCACAUCUUUGCAGAGGAUUUUACAAGGCAACAAAUGACUUCUGUUCUAAAAAGCCAGUCAGUAGUGUCCACAGCCAGAGAAUGAGGGGACGAUUAUUGUUAUGUGAAGUAGAUGUUUCUGUCUUUAACACUGUCAGUAAUGACUGGGACAACAGUCAGUGUGUGCCCUCUGCACUUGGCAGGUGACACCAGUCAGGGGACCCCAAAGGCUGGGGAGCUGUGCCAAUGGGAACCUCAGGAAAUCGAGCAGAGGCAAAUGCAGGAUCUUGCCCCUGCGGUGGCACAACCCUUCCACCCACACAGGCUAAAGGGGACUGGACAGAAGGAGCUGGGCUGGAAAUGAGGGAGGAAGAUGUUCAGUGUUACAGCCUUUGUCUUCCCAAGUCAAGCUCUGCUUUUUUGGGAAUGGCUGGAUAUCUGCCAACCCGUGGGAAGCAGGGAAGAGAUCCUUUACUUUGCUUUGCCUGUGUGUGCCCGUUUGCUGUAGGUGUUAAACUGUAUCACAACCCAGGAGUGUUCUCAUGUUUCAGAUUCUGCUGUAUCCUGCUAGGAGGUGUGAGGGACACCUGUGUGGGGCUUAGCUGCCUGCUGGGGUUAAGCAAAACCCUUAAAAUUAUUGUCUUUUUUUUACAGAUUUUUUAAUUCUUGAUGUGAAGGAAGCCUGGCUUGGGGUGUCUGGGGUCGAGGACUUCUUUAAUUGGUGUAUUGACCUCCAUUGCAAUAUGGUGUACUUUUCCUGAAAAAUUGCUGCUCAGUAUCCUUCAGUGAGGAAAACUUUUGUCCCUGAUAUCCAUGUGGAAUUGCAAAAUGCUGCUUAACCAACUCACCAGCUUCUCUCAUAGAAUGCCAGACUGAUUUGGGCUGGAAGGGACCAUUGCAACCACCUUGUUCCACUCUCCUGCCAUGGGCAGGGACACCUUCCACUAGCCCAGGCUGCUCCAAGCCCUGUCCAACCUGUAUUUGAACACUUCCACAACUUCCUACUUCAAAAAUGAUACAAUAUUUGAAAACCCAAAGCACGUGAGAGCGUGGCAGAAGUAGUCUUGAACAAUUAACUUGAUGCUCUCAUAAGCAAAAAACUAUUCAAUUGGAACAGUUACCUGUUUGGUACAGCAUCAAAUUUGACAAUAAUUCUUUCCAAACAUCAGGAAAAAAGCUAAAGUAGAAUCUUGUUACAAAGAAUGUGCACUUUAUUCAGAUGCCUAUACUGUGGAUGUUUAUCUUCAUAUACUGUUUUUUAAAA